CGAACAAAAAAUGUUUAAAAAAAAAAUGAUUUAUAUAACCACAAUUUCAAUAACAAAAUGAAGUGUUUUUUGUACAAUAAAACGCAUUUGACAAGUUUCACUGUAGGCGAACUUUACAAUGUCAGACAUUUCAAAAUUAAUCUUCAGAUGACUGUUCACAUCAUGGUUGAUCGUUAUACGCCAAAGAAUUAGUACUUUGUGCGCAGCCUCCAUUCAAACGGAUAACCGCAUCUGAACGUCUUCUGAUUCCUGCCAUAAAUCGACUAAUUUGUUGCUAAGGUAGCAGCAACCAUUUCUGAUGAAGGGAAUUGUUUAUUUCAUGUUGUGUUUGAACUGGGGUGUCCUUUCGCUCACUUUCCGCCCAAUAGUGUCCCAUAUAAGCUCAAUAUGGUUCAAAGCCGGGCUACGAUCGGGCCAAGGAAGAUGAACCAAACUCCAUUUGAACAUUGGAUCUUCCUCCACGAUGCUAAUUUCCAACUUUGGCGAGCUCUGCACUACAUUGGAUACGGAAAACUGUAAGUCUGCUCGUUAGCAAAGGUCUCCGAAAUGGUAUUAUCGCACUGUAACCAGUAGCGAUGAGUUGAUCUCGAACAGUUCUUGUUAAAAGGCUCUUGUAUGGCCACCACUCUCAUUUUAGGAUUGUCUUGUAUGCAAUAGGUUUCCUUCUGACCAACCUUCAUUAUGCUUGAUUUUCUCUAGCAAAUGGAAUAGGGGGUCUUCAUUAUCUCAGAAGGUCUUUUACAGCGUUUAUUGCCUGAUUUUUAUUCUCAAAACGACUUCAGUGGCAUGGUGAUGACCAACAAUGCGUGCAGUUGUUACAGCGACAGCCCUGCUUCUCUUAUGCUGAUAAUCUGCCAUCUUGCUGCAGUUAAGAGUUGUCAAGGACCCAUUAUAAGGUGUCAAUCACAUAAUUUUAAAAACUUGGUUAUUUAAAGUGCUGAAAACAAUGAGGAUGAAAACAUCUUUUUUGCUGUUUACGGGUACAGUAGCUGCAU
rnacentral:lncRNA from 1 species